rnacentral:misc_RNA from 1 species
GAUGAAGAACGCAGCGAAAUGCGAUAAGUAAUGUGAAUUGCAGAAUUCAGUGAAUCAUCGAAUCUUUGAACGCACAUUGCGCCCGCCAGUAUUCUGGCGGGCAUGCCUGUCUGAGCGUCAUUUCAACCCUCAUGCCCCUAGGGCGUGGUGUUGGGGAUCGGCCAAAGCCCGCGAGGGACGGCCGGCCCCUAAAUCUAGUGGCGGACCCGUCGUGGCCUCCUCUGCGAAGUAGUGAUAUUCCGCAUCGGAGAGCGACGAGCCCCUGCCGUUAAACCCCCAACUUUCCAAGGUUGACCUCAGAUCAGGUAGGAAUACCCGCUGAACUUAAGCAUAUCAAUAGCGGAGG